rnacentral:rRNA from 1 species
UUGUGGGGGGAUUAGUGGCGAACGGGUGAGUAACACGUGAGUAACCUGCCCUUAACUCUGGGAUAAGCCUGGGAAACUGGGUCUAAUACCGGAUAUGACUCCUCAUCGCAUGGUGGGGGGUGGAAAGCUUUAUUGUGGUUUUGGAUGGACUCGCGGCCUAUCAGCUUGUUGGUGAGGUAAUGGCUCACCAAGGCGACGACGGGUAGCCGGCCUGAGAGGGUGACCGGCCACACUGGGACUGAGACACGGCCCAGACUCCUACGGGAGGCAGCAGUGGGGAAUAUUGCACAAUGGGCGAAAGCCUGAUGCAGCGACGCCGCGUGAGGGAUGACGGCCUUCGGGUUGUAAACCUCUUUCAGUAGGGAAGAAGCGAAAGUGACGGUACCUGCAGAAGAAGCGCCGGCUAACUACGUGCCAGCAGCCGCGGUAAUACGGAGG